UUCACAACUGAUAUUCGAUAUGUGAACGGUUCCGAGAACGUAGUUGCGGACUUCUUAUCGCGCAUAGAGACUGUAACGUGUUCCACGAACAUCGACUA
rnacentral:pre_miRNA from 1 species